UAUGACUUCUCUGAAAGUCUCAAAAGCUUCACAGAGCAGCAAUAUCAGUUAAUGAAGAAAUGUGGCUCUGUAGUGGACACCUGUGAGGCAGAGGACAGACAGCUGCUGAUGUCUGAUGCUGACUGACAAUAAACAGACCUCUCUGGAUGUACCCCAUAUUUUGCAGAGUAAUUCUAACAUUGCCCUUCCUGUAACAUGAUGAUCCUGCUGUCCUGGACUGUAUAUGAUGAGCCUACACAUAAUCUCAGAACAGCUGUGGUAAUAACAGGAGACCCAUUAGAUGAGAGCGGCACUGCAGUCUUUCCUGAUGGAGGAGAUCAUGGACAAUUUUCACAAGACUGAUGAUGUGUUUCAGCUAUGUUUGUAUCGUAAAUCCUCACAAUGUUUGUAUAUAUAUAUUUUAUUUUUUUAAUUAUGUGAAUUUAUAACACUAUACUUUGUAUUAUAUCACAUUCAUAUCAAAUUACAGAAAAAAAUAGUUAAUGCUAAUGCAAGGGUGUUUCUAAUCCAGAG